rnacentral:rRNA from 1 species
CCUACGGGGUGCAGCAGUGAGGAAUAUUGGUCAAUGGGCGUAAGCCUGAACCAGCCAAGUCGCGUGAGGGAUGAAGGUUCUAUGGAUCGUAAACUUCUUUUAUAAAGGAAUAAAGUGAGGCACGUGUGCCUUUUUGUAUGUAUUUUAUGAAUAAGGAUCGGCUAACUCCGUGCCAGCAGCCGCGGUAAUACGGAGGAUCCGAGCGUUAUCCGGAUUUAUUGGGUUUAAAGGGAGCGUAGAUGGGUUGUUAAGUCAGUUGGGAAAGUUUGCGGCUCAACCGUAAAAUUGCAAUUGAUACUGGCAGCCUUGAGUACAGUUGAGGUAGGCGGAAUUCGUGGUGUAGCGGUGAAAUGCUUAGAUAUCACGAAGAACUCCGAUUGCGAAGGCAGCCUACUAAACUGCCACUGACAUUGAUGCUCGAAAGUGUGGGUAUCAAACAGGAUUAGAUACCCUAGUAGUC